AUUCACUACUUGUUUCUCCCUUGUCAAUUGUUAUUCUUCUACUACCACCGCCGCUACCGCUCCAACUCCUCGGACGCGAUAACCACCACUUCUACCACUACCGCAACGACCGCGAAAACGACAGCUCCUGCGACGAUAUCGCAUAAAGACAGUUUUUCCUCUGUCGCAAUCCUCCGAAUUACGGUUGAUACAGAAUUCCGACAACUUGCUAAGAAUAUUUCUUACUUUCAUCCACAUAUAUAUGGAUCACGCGUUAGGUUGAUUUGUUGUUUUGUUUUCUCCUUGUCUUUCGACAUCUAAUCUACGCGACGGUUAACCACCCUUUAUGUAUACGCGUCCAUUCAUCAAAUGUGUAUAUUUGUUACUAUCGUUUCUGGAUCGUAUUUUCGGAACCUUCGCACCGGCACACACCGCGCCCCGUCCCUGUCCUGCUCAACACCGACCGCUACCGUCGACGAAACGCGCGAUCUUUCACCUGCACUACGUCACACACACCGUCGCCUCAACGAAACUUUUCGAACUCGUCGAUUAGUUUGUUUUUUUUUCUGUUUCCGUUUUCUUUGAUUUGACGAAAUUCGAAAAUACGCUGCUACGGUCACGUAGAUCGCUGCUCACUUUCGGUUGAUCGGUAUCAAUUACCGUCACUAAAAUUGAGUAACACUGGUUUUAUAUUUAUUAUAACAAACAGCGUCCGUCUCAUCGUGGGAAAUGUGAUAUAAACUUCGAGGUUCGACGCGUUAAUUGUACAACAAAUUUUGACUAUUGAUCACGAAUAUGCGUUUGGUAAACCGAUAGUGCAUAACGCACAUGUGAACGUGUCGAUGUGUAUCGUGUCACUGAGCACAGUUGUUUGUUUUUUUUUUUUUUUUUUUUUUGUUUUUUAUUCGAGAGUUUCACUAGGUUUCGUUCAGCUCGUCGACGCGGACUCGAAGCGCGUUGAAAAGAAAAAAGCCACGUAUCUCACGUGUGGGAAAUGUAUAAUAGCGCGUACAUAUCUCUCUUAUACGUUACGUGAACACGUAUACGUGUUGGUGGGAUGACGUCAGUUUCUAACACGCAAUGUUACAUUUGUAAUAUCUUCCAACUUAUAUCCACGUGCAUAUAACUAUCGACGUGCAAUCGCCUCUAUAUACUUACAAUUAUAACGUAUACAUGUA
rnacentral:misc_RNA from 1 species